GAUGAACGCUGGCGGCGUGCUUAACACAUGCAAGUCGAACGGAAAGGCCAGUGCUUGCACUGGUGCUCGAGUGGCGAACGGGUGAGUAACACGUGAGUGAUCUGCCCUGCACUUUGGGAUAAGCCUGGGAAACUGGGUCUAAUACCGGAUAGGACCAUGCUUUAGAUGGUGUGGUGGAAAGUUUUUCGGGUGGAUGAGCUUGCGGCCUAUCAGCUUGUUGGUGGGGUAAUGGCCUACCAAGGCGU
rnacentral:rRNA from 1 species